AUGCUCUGGUUUCUCUUCAGAACGAACAUAUAUUUUGCCUUUUACUAAAGGUUUCUGUGAAUAGUAGAAAAACUAAGUUUUGUCUCAAUUAUGCAUGCCCCAGCUUAAUGGGGUU